ACCCAUAUGGUGCAGUGGUUAGCAUAUUGGAUUUUCACUCCAAAGACCGGAGUUCAAACCUCCGUGUGGGUG
rnacentral:tRNA from 2 species